ACUAGGUAUCAUUUGGAAAUAACAGGAAAUUUUUUGGGAUUGCUAAGAAGUAGCUAGAGGUACAGAAACAUUGCUUUCACUACUUAGGAUGUUUCUGUACCAAUAACACCUAUAAUACAGCUAGAACAACCUAAAUAAGUAGUGUACUGUGUGUCAUAAUUAUAGCCUCAAGUAUUAAACAGAAGUAAAAGUUUAGCAGCAGGAUUCUCACACUGACAGUAAGACAGUUGUCUCUUUUUUGUGUUUUUGGCCAUUUUUUCCAUGUACAGUAGGCGGCCUCGAUUAAACCCAGGGCGAAACGCGGAUAGUUUUCGAGGCGCUAAAUGUGUCCUAUCCAUUUCUCUUUUAUCUAUGGUCUGACAUCUCUAUUUGUGUGUCUGUGUGUGUAGACAGUAAUACAGCUGCUCAAGGAUCAAUAAAGUGCAACCUUUUCAGAGUCCGUAGCAAAACUUGCUCACCGAAUGUUGCUACUCUACUUAGUAGUUAGCUCUGCACCAGUCGAAUGGCCAAGGCAAAAUUUACCUCACGAACCGGAAGUACUUCCUGUUGUCUAUCUGGAUCUGCGGUUUCAAGCUCAAUUUCUGCACUAACUUUAGCUCAGUGUAACUUUUAUUCCUUUCAUGUAUACAAUAUAUAUAUUUGCAUCUUCUUUAUUGUUAUUGCAUCCUCUUCAUAACAAUAUGUAUAUCACAAUUUUAACAUGAGUCUUGCUUUACAAAGAGAGCUUUUUGUGCAGCCAUAGACAGCCACCAAAUCUUGCGGUUUUGACCUACCUGCACAUUAGCCGAUGUAAAAAAGGGUUCGGCACUCCAAAGCUUGCAUAUCAAUAGUUUAAAAGCUGAUGCCGAAUAUUUCCAAAAAACUGGACUGUUCUACUGGAUAUUCAUUACAGUAGAGCAUGUCAAAGUGGGCGUACUUCACACACCAACCACAUGGUGUUACUAGUUGAGCCACUUGUCUGAGUUCUGGCAAGGUAUAAAGACAAUGCACAUACAUCAACAAACUUAUAUCAUCCAUUCUACAACACACUAAAUUAAUAGAAUGAUCAUGAAAUUGCUAGAAGAAAGUUACGUCAUGUAAGUUCAGCAGUACAUUCAGGCCGAUAUGCGCCGAUUGUGCAAACAAUGCAUGCAUGUGCUCUCUCUGUGUAAGAAAACUAGAGAGACCCAGGGGCGUACACAGGGUGGUGCUUAGGGUGCUCCAGCACCCUAUCCAGACUCAGAGAAGCUCUCAAGUAGAUAGUUCAACCAUCACUGGCUGGCUAGAAGGAAGCUACACUUACUGCAGCUAUCUACAGCUUAAUAGUGAUAGUUACAAUAACUUUAAUCUAGCUAGCUAGCUAAGCUGGCCUAAAAAACUUACUUUUCUUCGAUCGUUUACUGGGAUAUCCAUGGGAACUAGUAAAGAGUGGGGAGGGGCUCAAUAAUAAGGCUAGGCAGCAGGAAGUGGUUUGCUGUAUCAAACACAUAGAACACUUGAGCUUGCUUCACAACAUGCAGCACAACAAGGUUCUUGGAUCCAGGUACAUGAGGUACUGGUGGUCAUACUUUGUACGCUGCCUGUCACCUCCUGGUAAGCUGAUCAAUCUUUUAGUGGCCUGAAAAUAAAAGAAUCAAGACUGUCGUCAGAUCAAGCAAAGGAACAAACGUUUAUCAUCACUUACACUUCUAC